rnacentral:lncRNA from 1 species
GGGGAAUGAGCUGCGGGAGAGAGCGAGAGACAGAGAGGGAGAGCUGAGAGAGAGAGAGGGACGGAUUCUGUUAAAGCAGGACUCAAUUGGAACUACUUGUCGAGUUAAAGGAUGUAAUUGCCUCAAAAAGAAGUUCACGGACCCAAUUGCAACUGGGAACAAAGUUUAGGGACAUCUACAGUUAAAAACCCUUAAACAAUUACCUCUGCAGCUCAAAAUGAUGCUUUUACCCCUUAUUUUGACAGACAAAUUGACAGACUUGGACGGUAGGACCCAAUUGGAACUAUUU